UUAAGACAAUAUAAAAAAAACUUAGAAUACUCUGAUAACACAAUUGAUGUUCUGUAUCCACAGAUGUACCACAGUGAGUGACUAACCUUGCAUCAUCAUUCAGACAUUCAGACAGCAAGCAACACUGGACAUGACUAAAUUUUUCUGUAUAUCUGUUGUGAAUGUGAAAAAAAAUUACUCAUGUGAGUUUUUAGAGUUUCUCUUUUUCAAUCUGUCUGAGGAGACAGAUUGCUUCAGUUCUCUUUUAGCAUGAUACAGAUGCCUCACCUAGAAAAAUAAAUCUUAUGUUCACUUGUCUUCUCUUGAUAAUGUCUGCAGGUAGCUUAAAACUUUCCCUGAUUGCUUUUUAUCUCUUUUUUGGUCUGUUUUUAAAGACAUUCCAAGGUGUUGCUGGACAGCUCCUUUUCCAAAGGGUAGCAGCAGCAGAGGUAACAGGAAACCAAAGAGCAUCCUGCUUAGGCUGAUGAGCCUUUUGUUAAAAGGACAUGUGGGUUUUUAGUGUAGUCUACCAUUAUUUGAAGAAGACCAGAGAAGCAAACUAUGUCAACCCUCUGAUGGUUAGCGCUACCUUUUCCCUCUACUUUCUGUAUUCUUUUGCCUUCAUGGUUUAACCUAGUUACUUUGGGAGAUUGUCAGCACUUUUACCAGACUGAGAUAAAUAUCUGUUUCUUGAGAAUGAAUGCAGUUAUUAUUUACAUGCAGUCCUACUCAUUUGUGAAUGCCUAUGAGAUAACUUUAACCUCAGCACUGAGAUUUGACUCUAUAUAUGUAAAUAACACUAUUUUAUUAGCCGGAAUGGCAAGAUCUGUGUAGAUAAUGAUGCCUUUGUUACGAUGGAAAGAUUGUUAUGGUGGAAAGAUCAUGACGGUGCAAAGAUUGUCAGACUAGAUGUGAGAUAUUAUUUAAACUUUGAGGAAUGGGACACAAUGUAGACAAGUAUUCUCAGCCAUGAUAUAGCUGUGUCACAUGUUUUCAUUUUGAAACAUAACCACAGGUUGUAAAUGCAAACAAGGCUGGGGAAAGCCAAAAUUGCCUCCUUCUGAGAACUAUAAAAUGACAUUUUGGGAAAAGAUGGUUCUGUUCUACUCUGUAGUGGUUUCUGAAUAUUGGCUGUGAUAAUGUCAAAAAAAUCCAGAAUUUGUACUCUGAAUGCUCUUAUCUGAGCUAUUUGCAUAUAUUUUAAUAGCACAUAAGGCAGGGAUGAACCUGUGCCUCUGACUUGAGUACACCAUUCACAGUCAUCCUGAUCUGGUGGAAAGCUCUGGAGACCAAAUCAGAAUAUAUCUCUAACUGUUAUUUUUAUGCACCCACUCGGUGAAUGUUGUUGCUGCUUACUUUCCCAGUUCAACUAGUCCCCUAAUCUCACAAAAUCAUCGUGCCUGUAUGCACUGAUGGACAGCACCAAGGCAAUGGCUCUCAUAGCAGGUGGUUUGUGGCCCCUCAAAUAGGCUCUGAGAAAUCAUGGUGAGAAAAUAGAGGAACUGCAUUCAACAAGGACUGCACAACUAUAUCUGUGGUAGAUAUUAAGUAUAUAAGGUGUGGAAAAAAAAAUUACUCAGGUAGAUCUGCUGAUGUAAGUGUGGCAUGACUGAAGAGGAAUGUACCUUCUGUGUCUCUAGAAAAGUCUAUCAGUGCAAUACAAGAGCCAUAUUGGCUAAUAAGUUAUGAUCCUGGUUAAUAGUUAUUGAAAUGGUUAAUCUUUUGUUGCCUCCAUUAUCUACAACAUUUUUCCAAAGUGAUGUGAUAAUAUCCUUUUUGCCUAUUUAGGGGAGCCUUGCACAAAUCAUUUCUUGAGGAAGUUGAUAGACAGGUGGUAAGAAUGCUAAACAAAUUAAUUUGAAAAUUAAUGAAUAUUUUAUGUCUUCUGUGAGAAGAUGUUGAAUGUAUAUACAUUUUAACUUAUUUGGCUACUUAAAGCACUGCCUAGAAAACAAAAAAUAAGUUUAAAAAAUGACCAGCUGAUCAUUACUAUUUGAUUACUUUUUUUAGCAAUGUUUCAGCUGAAUGCAUCUAUUUUUCUAACCAGUCACUAGGAGAGCUUCACUGUGAUAAUGAAACCAUUUUUAAUCUUUAGUAAACUAAAUAGCAGAAAGGUAGUCCAAAAUAAUAUAAAAUAUGAUUCUGAAAUGAAAUCCACAAAAAGUUUAAGAACACAGCACUCCUGCUGCUUUUUGAUGUGAAAUAUCUAGCAACCUUAUUUUUAAGUGCUACUCAGGUGACUGAGGUAUUAAAAAGUUAACUAGACUCAUAUAUUGCUUCUAGGUACAUUUUUGUGGGUUUGGAAGACAAAGAGACAUCUCUCAUGACAGCCAUAAAAAAAUCUAAAUCUGUCCUCCUUUCCCAAGUUUUUCUUUACAGUAACAUUUUAGCUCUUAGCAAUGCCUGCUGAUGGAUACAUUUCAUCCAGAAAAUUCAAUUGCCUACUCCUGUUGCUGCUAUGGUUACAGAUAAUGACAUAACUUCUUGUUCUGGUAGAGACAAUGAUAAGGGUUGUUAUGAUGGGUCAAAGCAAAAAGUUUCAAAGUUAGAAAAACUUCUCUGAAAGCCAGGUGGUUGAGUAGCACUUGAAGCAAAAUCCUAUAUCUUUUCUCUAGGAGUUGAAGAAAGAGAAAGGUUUUCUUUUUCCCUUCUCUGACAGUUUUAAAAUUGCAUGCACCCUGUUAAAACAUGGCUAUGAGUAUGUGUACUUUUCUAAUUAUUACUCCAGAAUAAAGAACACAACAAUAUUAGAAGGCACAGGUGAAAUCAGGUUUAGAGGAUGAUUAGAUCCAAUCCUACCCAAAUGCUUCCAGCAGACUAAGACCCAAAGAUUUGUGUUUUUCCCAAAGCUGUGCUUGUUAAAUCCAUCUCCUUUGCCUGUGCUCAUCGCAGCUCAUUGACUCCCUGGGAAUGCCUCCAUCACCCCACAAAAGCCUGUGUUUUCAAUGAGGUCCAAUGAUUUUACAUAUAUGCAAUUUUUGCAUGGUUCUUGUCACUUAUAUUUCAGUAGUUUAUUUGGGAUUUUCCAGGAAUUUCUCUUGCAAAUCUCCAGCUUUCUAACUCUUUCUAUUGAUAAGGUGAUGUGGGGGAAAAGUACAGGGAAAACCUGUCUUUUGGAGGUCUACUGCUUUUGAAAUAUCUCCUGUAAUUCUCAGGGUUUUUCUGUCCUUUUCAGAGCCUGACAAUAGGAAGGAUACAGCCUGGGUAUAGUGUUCCCCAAGCCUUCAUUUCCAGCAGCUCUAGUAAUUUUGCCAAGCCACAAGGAUCAAAAACCCUGGGCCAAAAUCCUCUCUUAUUUACACUGGCACACAUUUGAAGAUCAAGCCAGCAGAGUCAACACAGUUUCACAACAGCGAAGACCACCGCUCUGCUGCUCUGCUCUAGGUCAUGGUAUGUGCAUCAACAUCUUUUGGGAGAAAGAAGGGGAGGAGCUUUGAAUGUAGCUUGCUGCAUAUGCAAUCUUAUAUAUGCAGCUCAUGACCCUGGCCAAGUAAAAACUGAAAUGUAAGGAAGCACUAAUAGAUUGUUCUUUAUUUCUCCCUCUCUUUUCCAGUAAAAAACAUUCUGUCUAUGAUGUUGAUUGAACCUUUACAAUUCCUUCCUGUCUUUAUAAUUAAUUUCCUAUUUAAUAUGUAUGUACUUUGAUUUUUCUUUUAAUGUUUGUACACACUUUUCAUUGUAAGAGUGAUUAAAAUUUGCCAUACAUUUUAAGACCCUAUUAGCUCUUUGCUUGAGUAACGAAGAAUUGAGACACUUAAACAUAAUUUCUGGAAAUAUUUACUCAGUUAUCCACUUUUGGGGUGCAGUUGUUUAUUUCAUAACAGUGGCCUGAAAACAGACCACAGAUAAACUGUCAGCUUUGACUGAGUUUCAAUUGGAAACUUCAGUUUUUCAAGUGGAGCUCAAUGAACAUGAGCUGAUGUAUCUUCAAAUCAAGAUAAUAUUGAUAUUAAUUUCUUGGAAAGUAAGCUGUUUGAUAUUUUGUUGUAUAUUUUCUAGCCUCUGUGUUGGAGAAUGAGGUUUUACCCUUUCUGCAUUUGCGUGUUUAGUGCAAGCCAUUUACUAAAAGAUCUAUUUCUAGCUCAGAAUCAUUAAUACUGUCACUCUUUUUCAGCUUUUGGAUACACUACUAGUGUAUUCACUAGUGGUGGGUUGUUGACCCUAGCUGGACUCCUAGUGCCCACCAAAGCUGGAUGGGGAAGAGAAAAUACAAAAAAAAAAGCUCAUAGGUUGAACAGGGAAAGAUCAUUUAUCAGUUACUGGCAUGGGCAAAAGAGGCACAAAUUUAUUGCCAAUCUAAUCAGAGUGGGGUAAUGAGAAAUUAAAAUAAAUCUUAAAACACCUUCCCCCAUUCCUCCCAUCUUCCUGGGCUCAACUUCACCCCUCAUUUUCUCUCUCUCCUCCCUCUAAUGGUGCAGGGGGAUGGGUCACGGGUGCUGUGGCCAGCUCAUCAUGUGUGUUCUCUGCCUCUCCCUCCUCAGGGUUGGGCUCCUCACAUCUGCUCCAGCAUGGGAUCCUUCCCAUGUGAGACAGUCCAUCACAAACUUCUCCAACGUGGGACUCCUUCCCAUGGGCUACAGUUAUUCAUGAACUGCUCUAGCCACGGUCUCCCACAGGUUCUGCCAGCAAACCUCCUCCAGUGUGGACUCCUCUUUCCAUGGGGCCACAGGCCAAGGAGCCUGCUCCAGCAUGGGCUUCCCAUGGGAUCAGUCUCCUUUGAGCCCCCACCUGCUCAGCACUGGCUCUGUGAAAUGGAGGGGAAGCUUCUACCAGGUCCUCACAGAAGCCACUGUCUACCAUAACCAUGCCAGACAGACUCCAUGGCAAAGCUCCUGGUCUAGCAGAAGAGAUAUAUUAAGCAAUCCUAUGAAUUUCUUAAUAUGAUCUCAACUUUCCUGCACAGUUAUCCAGGAAACCAGUGGGGAACAAGCAUUAUAUCCUCUAUUAGUAGAUUUUGUCUAUCUAGAUGGAAAAAAUAUUCAAAGAAGCUUUUCAUAAUUAAUUUCUGCAUGCCAUAUGUGUGCUCAUGAGUGCUGUAAAGUAAAGCACAAGAACUGUGAUUUGUUUUGUGUUCAAUGUGACCAAUUUUGUGCCAACAAGUGAUUGUGCUUGUAACUGCCUGUUUGGCAUGUGCAACAACGUGUUUGCACUUCUAAAUGUGUAUUUGGGAGAAUACAAACCAGGACCUCACAGUUCACAACAGAGCAAAUGAAGCAUGGCAGUGAGUCACAGAAAAGACUGGCUUUGCAUGCAAAUUCUUUGAAUCUGGAAAUGGUUUCUGGGAUGAAAGCAUCUUGUUUCUCUGGUUAGUUCUUUAUAAAUUGUUUUAAAACUUGCUUAUUAGCCGUAAUUUGUCUUUUGUGAGCUUGGUGAACAGGUGUUUUUGCCCUUAAGACCCUUAAGACUCAUAAAGGAACAAGAUUUCUUUUUAUUUACAUUUUUAAGUGCUCAGUUGUCACAGCCAGCCAUUAUGCAAAACUGAUUCCAGUGACUAAUUUGACUUGACAUUUUGAUGCCUGUUUCUUUCAGAGUUCCAUGUUAUUUGGCUGAUCUUGGCCUGUACCAUGUCAUUCAGCAACAUAUACCUCCAUUUUUUAAAUAUUACUCUACUAAAGAACUAUAUUCAACCUGUCUGUCUAUUUUCUUAUAUGUAUCUACUCCUAGCUGUCCUGGAUUUUUCUUUAUGUCAGCAAGGUCAAACUCAUUCCUCUUCUAAUUAUACACAGUACCUAUUCACAUCUUUGCUAUUUAAGCAUGUCAGCUGUUGAAGUAAUUACAUUAGUGUGAAUGUCAAAGAAAAUUAGGGAAAAGGAGGGAAUACAAAUAAUUCAAAGCUUUAAGAGGAAAAGAAAUUUAUGCUUACUGUCCCUCAAUGUACUAUUAGACAAUAUAGUUUCAGGUGCUAAACAGUCUGGGGACCUGGCUUGAAUUUAGGUUUGAAAGGCUAAAUUCAAACCAAAAUUGAAAGGUAUUCUUCACUAUUCUUUCUUAUUAAUGUUUAGAUGAAAGCCAUAAGCUUUUAACCAAAUUCAUUACUUUCUGGGAGGAUCUGGAUGUCUGAAGAAGAAAUAUUCAGCCUUGCUAACUGAAGUUAAUGUCUUUAAGAUUGCUUAGAACCCCCCAGAAAAGAAACAGUGUACUAACUUGUAUGAAGGGAAGAGUUGCCAGGCCCUGCUGAUGAAAACAUAGUGGAAUCCAAUAAAUGUUCCAUUUGUAUUACAUAUCUUCCUUCUGGGAAAAUGUAUUGAGAAAUUUAUUAUGAUUUGCAGUUCAAGUUAAAAUCUCUCUUUGCUUUUUGAGUAAAGACCCUAUGUUCUAUUCUUUAUGGCACAGGACUUUACUGGUAGAAAUCCUCUCAUUUAGCAGUGGGAAAAGCUUAGACAUCCUGAUUCUCUUAUAUGUUUGUGGUUUAGCAUCCUUUUCUUCUGGUGUGUGCAGUUCCAGCCUCUUGCUUAGAAAGGCACAAGGAGGGAAGGCUUGUGCACACAGGGAGAAUUUUAUUUUAGUGGAGUUUUGACUGAUAUAUUUUCACAUAUCUUCUGAUUUGUGUUCCCUUUGGGUAGAGACAGCCAAUGUAGUAUUUGGCACUUAAAAGAUUACACAAUUAAUCUUGCAGAUGUUAGUCUGCAAAGAGCCCUAAACCAACUUUCCCAGUGAUGACCAUUUUCUGCUGCUGUCCUACUCAAGUAGCCCAGUUGUUGUUUAAUCUUUACAGGGAGAGUGGAGGCCAGCUGAGCUUUCUCACCUGAUUUUGAUCGCCUCAGGAGCAGAGAAAAACACCUGUAUUUUUCUGGUUGAUUUUUCCCAAAGCAGAGUUAAAUGUUCAGAGUGUAUUUAAUCAAUUUUUGACAGUGGUGUAUUCUGCAGUUGUGGUUAUAUGUGGGGGCCACAGCAAGAGAGCACCACUGUUAAACAUUAUGUUUUAGUGCUUUGAUUUUUGCAGUCAGUUACACUUACAGAAAUUGAGUAACAACGAAGCCAUCAUAUGUGCUAGAGGUCAGUGAAACAAAAAAAAUCUAUGUUUCAACACUGGUGAUGAGAAGCUUCUUUCUCCAGUUGAGAUAGAAUGGACUGGAUGAUUGGAUUCUACUAAUUCAGUAAUAUUACAUCUGAAUCUCUUCUGCAUCAUGAAGUGAAGGUAAGGUAUAUGAUUAUAUCAACAAUUACAUUGAAUUUAAGGGGUUUUUUGAAACUGGCUACUUUACUCCUGUUCAUGUUUCAAAGCCAUCCAUGUACCAGACUGAAUUUUUUCAGUUAUGCAUUUAUUUGUGGAGGAAUACCAGUCAGGUACAAGACUUGCAAAUUGCUUCUGAACUAAUCACUUUCAAUUUACGAAAAAAGAAACAAAGCUAAAUAAAACAAAGCCUUUCUCACUUUUAAGACAAAACUGAUUUUUAUUGUAAAAAUCUUCAUUAUAAAAUUGACCUAUUUUAACAACAAAACCCUCAUAGGCUGUAUAUUUCAGAUUUUAAAAUAUGUUUCUCUCUUUUAACUUAAAAUUAUUUAGAAACUGGAUUGUUUUGUCUGGGCAAAAAACAUCCCAAAACAAUCUUUUUUCAGUUCUAUCCAGACCUUUUCUUCAAAGCAUUUUUUCCAGUGCUUUUUCUUUUUUCAAGUUUGUCCAGCUUCUCGUGAAAAUAACUUUUGCAUUUCAUAUUUUAGGUUAAUCAGUCUGAUUUGAAAAUUGCAUUAACUUCUGUGAAAAUUUUCCUUUCCUUAUGAAACCAAAUGAAAGAAAGUGAUGCAGCAUGAGGUUUUAUUCACACAAGCUGGAAUGAGAAGGGAAAAAACAGAGGUGAGCUGAACUGGAAGAAAAGCCACAGUGGACAUAUGCAUAAAACUCAUAUUGAACUAAAAGAAACAAAGCCUUGAAAAAGAUUUAAGAAAAAUCUUGUCAAAAUGGACUGAUCUUUAUAAUAAACACACUUGUGAUCUAAUAACUCAUUUCAUGUUUGGAGAAGUUGGGAUUGAUAUUUUGCAACAGGUUCCAAUGUCAUACUUGGGUAAUUUUUUUGAUUUGUUGCAAUUUGAAGGACUGUGAGCUAGACAGGGCUGUUGAGCCCAGCAUAAACAGCUUCAGAGCUAUCAACUCUGGAAAAUCCCUUUCAACAGAAACCAUCCAAAGUUCAGGAACAUCACUAUUACAUUCAAAUUGGGUCAGUUUGUUAUGAGAGAGCUCUGAAAGAGAUUAUAUCAUUUCCUGACAUUAAAAACACACAUUUGAGGUUUUUUUAUGAUAGCAGUGUUGAUUGGUUUCAGAGUGUUUCAGCAUUUUGGCAUGCCCAUAACAUGAGGAUGUAUCAUCAACGUUGUAAUAAAAGAGCCAGGCUUGAUGAAAUUUGACCUUCUAGAAACUCCCAUUGAGAGGCAAAGCAUUCACAUCUUAGUACUUGUCUUUUUAUCUAGCAAGGGGGUUUUACAGUCUAGAUUCGUUGUUCAUGCCAGGAAAAGAAUUCUUCUUCUUCAUUAAAAAAAAAAAAAUCAGGUUUGCAAGUGAAUGCUUAACUUUUGUGUUUUACAGUUGUGUCUGCAGAGAAGAUAAAUUGCAAUUCUUCAAAUCUAAAAAAUUCCAAACGUGGAGUUACAGAUGAAAGACUUAAAAAAAGUCCAUUUAAUCUGAAUGUUGAAUCUUUCUGAUUUGUUUUGGAUAUGUGUCUGCAAUUUUUACUAUGUUGUUAUUUAUUUCUAAAUUGGUCCCUUUAGGUACAAUUAUUUUAAUAGUCAAAAUAAAGUAAAAUAAUAGUUAGUAUAUUAGAAUGCAGCAAUUUUUACUUGCAAUUCUAAAAGAAGGUGGUUGGGUGCAUGAUCUAUUGCCUGCUCUCAAUUUUCAAUUGGAUUAUUAAUCUAAAGUAUUCUAAUUCUCAAACGUAUUAAUUUCACAAUAAUUCACAACGUGAAUUCAAAUCAGUUAGGAAAACUAGUCCAAGUAGAUUCAAUUACAUAAAUUAAAAGGUAUGUCCAUACUUCUGCUUGUUUUUGUUUAUAUGAUGUGUCUCAAAACUCUUCACAUCUGCAGGCAUGGAGUUAUAAAAUUCCAUAUUCUAGAUAUCUAUGUCUAUUAAUGUUUAUGCAAAGCAACAUGUACCCUUUUUUGUACAAAUGAUCUAUAAUUAUGCCAUAAAUUUUUAGCAUGCAAAUUUUUUUCCUAAACAAUUGAUCCCAGUGGGAUGAAAAAUACUAACCUGAAUUUAUUUCCUUAUGCCCAACAUAUUUCACUAUAUAAUCAGAUUGUUUUUCAUUAAAUGAAUGUUGUCUCCAUACUGGCUUUCUCUAUUUGAAGGUGGUAAUGAAUAAAUUUAAACUCUGAAUCACAGGUGUUUAAAUUGGCUGAGGGAAUAAAUGUAUAACUACAUUCAUAAAUACAUAUCAAAGCAGUCAAAGGCUUAGCUAUAUAUUAUGCCUUGAUGUGUGUGCAAAAUUUCCAUUACUGUUAUUGGGAGAUAAUGUGGGUGUUGUGGGGUCAGAAUAUAUUCCAGGUAGUAUCCUGUGACAUGUUUUUUUCCUAGUAGUCCCAUUUUCCCUUCUUUAUAUGCUGUUUGCUACAGUAACAUAGCAUUUGAAUUAGAGUUUUAGGAACUCUGAGGAAAGCAAUUGCAGAAUUUAUGUUUGUGACAAAAAAAUGAUUUUGCAAGUUUCAUGUUUGUACUGAAAAA